rnacentral:rRNA from 1 species
UGAAAUCUCACCAGGCCCGGACACUGGAAGGAUUGACAGAUUGAUAGCUCUUUCUUGAUUCGGUGCGUGGUGGUGCAUGGCCGUUCUUAGUUGGUUGAGUGAUUUGUCUUGUUAAUUCCGUUAACGAACGAGACCUUAACCUGCUAAAUAGUGACGCGGUUCAUCGAACCGUGGGCCACUUCUUAGAGGGACUAUCGGAUUCAAACCGAUGGAAGUGUGAGGCAAUAA